AACGAACGCUGGCGGCAGGCUUAACACAUGCAAGUCGAGCGCCCAGCCAGGGGACCGGCAGACGGGUGAGUAACGCGUGGGAACGUACCCUUAUCUUCGUGAUCGCUCCGGGAAACUGGAAUUAAUACCGAAUGUGCCCUUUGGGGGCAAGUUUUAUCGGAUAAGGAUGGGCCCGCGAUGGAUUAGCGAGUUGGUGGGGUCAAGGCAUUCCAAGGCGACGAUCCAUAGCUGGUCUGAGAGUAUGAUCAGCCACAUUGGGGCUGAGACACGGUCCGAACUCCUACGCGAGGCAGGAGAGGCGAAUAUAGGAACACGGGCGCAGGCCUGAUGCAGCCAGGACGGGUGAGUGAUGAAGGCAGUAGGGAUGUAAUGCUCUUUCACCGGAGAAGAUAAUGACGGUACCCGGAGAAGAAGCCCCGGCUAACUUCGUG
rnacentral:rRNA from 1 species